rnacentral:sRNA from 1 species
AACGAAGCCCGCGUUAUGCGGGCUU